rnacentral:rRNA from 1 species
CCUACGGGUGGCUGCAGUGGGGGAUAUUGCACAAUGGGGGGAACCCUGAUGCAGCGACGCCGCGUGGGUGAAGGAGCGUUUCGGCGCGUAAAGCCCUAUCGGCAGGGAAGAAGAUGACGGUACCUGACCAAGAAGCCCCGGCUAACUACGUGCCAGCAGCCGCGGUAAUACGUAGGGGGCAAGCGUUAUCCGGAUUUACUGGGUGUAAAGGGGGCGUAGACGGCAAUGCAAGCCAGGAGUGAAAGCGCGGGGCCCAACCCCGGGACUGUUCUUGACACUGCCUGGCUGGAGUACAGGAGGGGCAGGCGGAAUUCCUCUUGUCGCGGUGACAUGCGUCGAUAUUAGGAGGCACACCGGU